rnacentral:tRNA from 1 species
GGGAUAUUAGCUCAGUUGGUUAGAGUACUGGAUUGUGGUUCCAGGGGUCGAGGGUUCGAACCCCUCAUGUCCCCCA